UGGCACUCCAUGGUCCAUGUUCUGUGUGUC
rnacentral:piRNA from 1 species